AUGCAGAGCCGGGCGCGUGUGGACAUGCCUGUCUUCGUCUGUCCGCGGUGCCGGGCGGGCGUUGAUCGAAGGGUUUCUCAGACACCGAGGAACCAGAAUCGUCCGUUCUACGUGUGCAGCGAGAAUGGGGUGACAUGCUUCUUUCUUUGGGUCGAUGCUCUGGCCAAGACUCUGAUGAAUGAACUGCAAGAAGAGCAUGAAGAAUGGUUGCGCAUGCUGCCACGAACGGCAGUGGCCACACCACGAGCUCCGGAAGAUGGAUGGCGAAGCACGCACUGA
rnacentral:rRNA from 1 species